CAGGUACUCCCUCCGUUCCGAAUUACUUGUCGCACGUAUGGAUGUAUCUAGAUGUAUUUUAUUUCUAGAUACAUCCAUUUCAGCGACGAGUAAUUUGGAACGGAGGGAGUACUAG
rnacentral:pre_miRNA from 1 species